ACGGAGCAUCUGGGUGGUCCUCGUUCCAUUUCUGGAGUGUUUUCACACAGUCUGGAGGAAUGGGAUGGAGAGGGACAUAGAGGAAUGGGAAUGGCUGUAGAUAUUUAUACCACUGCUCAAAUGGAGGACAAAGCCAAGCAGCUCAUAAAUGGGUUUUCAAAGAGUCACAGAAUCACAGAAUGGUGAUGCCAAAAAGCCAAUGCAAGACGGAAGAGUCGGCAGAGAUACACAGAAAGGGGAUUGCAGCAGCCCUGGCCAACAGCACAAGCUGAAGGCAGGCUCCUCCAGUUUCUACCCUGAAAACCCAGCAAAGCCUGAAUACUUCUUGAACCCUGCUGCAGGAAAGAGAAAUGAAGAUCUCUCCAUAGGAAUGGAAAGCUAAAAUAGAUGUGUUUCAUGGACCUCGCUGAAAUGACAUUGCCAGUCCCAAUCCACAGCCCAGUAAAAGGCUCUGUAAUUAAUUCAGAACAUCCAAAGUGUUUUCACCCAAAUUAUCAAGCCUGUGGGAGAGGUUUGUGACA
rnacentral:lncRNA from 1 species